GUUGUUCGGAUAGUGGGGGAGAGCAAUUAAUAAUAGAU
rnacentral:rRNA from 1 species